AAAGGGGUAUUUUUGACAGGAGAUAUGGCACCCACCGAACCACAAAGGAAAUGAUGAUGUGUAUUUGGAGAAUGGGAGUCAGCCUGUGGCAGCUGUGUGGGUGUCAUCAGAGAUAAGGCUGGAGAGAAGGAAGGUCAGAUAUGGAAGGCCGAAGGACCAAGAACCCUCCUCUGAGGGAGCGGUGACUCAGAUCAGAGGGAAGCUUUAGAACAGUGGAUCUCAAAGACCUAGGAAGGGGAGACACCUGGAGGCUAGAGGGCCUCUCUGGAGGCGCUAAAGGCCAUUGCAGAGGGAGGGAGAGGUGGGUUUGGACAGCUGAGAGGCUCUGAGAGGUCGUAGCUAACCUGGGACUCAAAUCGGGACAUCUGGGUUAUGGCGGCCUGAAAGAUCACUACAAGGAAGUCAGCAAGGAGCAGGUUGAGAACCAGCUAUGUUCCAUCACCAGCUAGCUAAGCAGGGGAUAACCAGGGUCAGCAUUUGAUGACGACGCCCAGGUGCAGUUGUAGAUGGUACACUCAUGAAACGAGCUAGGGUGUUACAGGCACUUUAAAAUGCAUUCUUGGAGAGUCAAUCAAAUCCUGAACAAAGGACCUACGGAUAAUUCCUCCACGUGGGGUUAGAUUUUGCCCCGGUCUCUAGCCGUAGAAACUCGGCUUGCAGAAUUCUCACGAGCAGCAGCAGAGGGCAGCAACGGCAGGUGGGUGGCAGAUUCCUCGCAAGGCGCUCAGAGGACUUGGGCUUCUGCCUUCACCAACAGCAGGUGUUUCCAGAUGCUGGGGAAGAGAAGGCUGGCCCCGGCUUGCCAGGGGAUCAUACUGGGUACCGGCCUAUACACCUGGCACCGGCAGGAACAAGAGAGGAGUCCAGCUGUCAUGUGGCACAGAUGUUUGGAGGCUCACUUCUGUCUAGGAUCUAAGACAGUAUGUGUGAUGCAGGGAAUGGGAAGGGAGUAUGUGAGAACUUUUCUGCAUGUGAUUGGAGUAGCAUUUCAACACAAUAUGAAGAAUUAAAGUCUAAUUUUAAACAGGUGGGUGAUAGGUAGCCAUAAAGGAGCGCUAACUUAAGACUUAGGACAUUUCCAGAAAUCGACAUGCUAGUACUUACCAUUACUUUUUUAUAAAAUAAAUUGCAUUGCAGACCCGGGCUCA
rnacentral:lncRNA from 1 species